AGGACGAACGCUGGCGGCGUGCUUAACACAUGCAAGUGGAGCGACGAACCAGGGCUUGCCCUGGGGCAGAGCCGCGAACGGGUGAGUAACACAUGGGUUACCUACCCCGAUGACCGGGACAACCCGAGGAAGCUCGGGCUAAUACCGGAUGUGGUCUUCGGACGAAAGGAGCUUCGGCCUCCGCAUCGGGAUCGGGCCCGCGGCGCAUUAGCUUGUUGGUGGGGUAACGGCCUACCAAGGCGACGAUGCGUAGCUGGUCUGAGAGGACGAUCAGCCACACUGGGACUGAGACACGGCCCAGACUCCUACGGGAGGCAGCAGUGGGAAUAGUCCACAAUGGGCGAAAGCCUGAUGGAGCGACGCCGCGUGAGGGAUGAAGUCUUUUCGGAGUGUAAACCUUCUUUAGUAGGGAUAGAAACGGUGGGUAACCCCAACGUAAGAACAGUAACCCUAGUAG
rnacentral:rRNA from 1 species